rnacentral:lncRNA from 1 species
UGAAAGUGUAUAUAUGUAAUAAGGCCUAAUGGCCGAUGUGAUGAAUGUGAAAGUGUAUAUAUGUGAUUAGGCCUAAUGGCCGAUGUGUGGAUGUGAAAGUGUAUAUAUGUGACAGGGCCGAGUGGCCAACGUGAUGGAUGUGAAAGUGCAUAAAUGUGAUAAGUCCCGAAGGGCAUUUGUGUCAGUACUAUAUCCGGGUUAAAACCACGCAGGCUUUAUGAGAGAAUAUUAUCACUUAUUAAUGUCCUUAAGCUUCGUGCUUGUACUAUAUCCGAG